rnacentral:rRNA from 1 species
GAUGAACGCUGGCGGCGUGCCUAAUACAUGCAAGUCGAGCGAAUGGAUUAAGAGCUUGCUCUUAUGAAGUUAGCGGCGGACGGGUGAGUAACACGUGGGUAACCUGCCCAUAAGACUGGGAUAACUCCGGGAAACCGGGGCUAAUACCGGAUAACAUUUUGAACCACAUGGUUCGAAAUUGAAAGGCGGCUUCGGCUGUCACUUAUGGAUGGACCCGCGUCGCAUUAGCUAGUUGGUGAGGUAACGGCUCACCAAGGCAACGAUGCGUAGCCGACCUGAGAGGGUGAUCGGCAACACUAGGACUGAGACACGGCCCAGACUCCUACAGGAGGCAGCAGUAGGGAAUCUUCCGCAAUGGACGAAAGUCGGACGGAGCAACGCCGCGUGAGUGAUGAAGGCUUUCGGGUCGUAAAACUCUGUUGUUAGGGAAGAACAAGUGCUAGUUGAAUAAGCUGGCACCUUGACGGUACCUAACCAGAAAGCCACGGCUAACUACGUGCCAGCAGCCGCAGUAA